rnacentral:rRNA from 1 species
AUUGAACGCUGGCGGCAGGCUUAACACAUGCAAGUCGAGCGGGGGAAGGUAGCUUGCUACUGGACCUAGCGGCGGACGGGUGAGUAAUGCUUAGGAAUCUGCCUAUUAGUGGGGGACAACAUCUCGAAAGGGAUGCUAAUACCGCAUACGUCCUACGGGAGAAAGCAGGGGAUCUUCGGACCUUGCGCUAAUAGAUGAGCCUAAGUCGGAUUAGCUAGUUGGUGGGGUAAAGGCCUACCAAGGCGACGAUCUGUAGCGGGUCUGAGAGGAUGAUCCGCCACACUGGGACUGAGACACGGCCCAGACUCCUACGGGAGGCAGCAGUGGGGAAUAUUGGACAAUGGGGGGAACCCUGAUCCAGCCACGCCGCGUGUGUGAAGAAGGCCUUAUGGUUGUAAAGCACUUUAAGCGAGGAGGAGGCUACUCUAGUUAAUACCUAGGGAUAGUGGACGUUACUCGCAGAAUAAGCACCGGCUAACUCUGUGCCAGCAGCCGCAGUAA